GACGAACGCUGGCGGCGUGCCUAAUACAUGCAAGUCGAACGCUUCUUUCCUCCCGAGUGCUUGCACUCAAUUGGAAAGAGGAGUGGCGGACGGGUGAGUAACACGUGGUUAACCUACCCAUCAGAGGGGGAUAACACUUGGAAACAGGUGCUAAUACCGCAUAACAGUUUAUGCCGCAUGGCAUAAGAGUGAAAGGCGCUUUCGGGUGUCGCUGAUGGAUGGACCCGCGGUGCAUUAGCUAGUUGGUGAGGUAACGGCUCACCAAGGCCACGAUGCAUAGCCGACCUGAGAGGGUGAUCGGCCACACUGGGACUGAGACACGGCCCAGACUCCUACGGGAGGCAGCAGUAGGGAAUCUUCGGCAAUGGACGAAAGUCUGACCGAGCAACGCCGCGUGAGUGAAGAAGGUUUUCGGAUCGUAAAACUCUGUUGUUAGAGAAGAACAAGGACGUUAGUAACUGAACGUCCCCUGACGGUAUCUAACCAGAAAGCCACGGCUAACUACGUG
rnacentral:rRNA from 1 species